GUGUUCUGUUAAGUUAACCUGACACUUUCGGUUUGCACAUCUCCUGCAUGGCCCAGGGUCCUCUUCCUCCAGGCAGCCCUCACAGACUGCGGGGUCUCCUGCCUGUCCUCCUCGCAGUGAGUGGUUCCUGCCAGCCCAGCCCCUCUCUCGGUUCCAUCACAGGCAUGGAAGCCCUCGUCUUGCCGUGGUGCCCGUCGCGGGGUCUGGGACCCCCAGCCCCCGGGCCCCGGCUCACUCUGGCCCUCAUCCGCCGCACGGCUUGUGAUGUUAGUGAGCCCGGGGGGAGCUGAGGGGACAGACUUGGCACCCAGGCUCUGGUGUCUCCUGUGGGGGCCGGAGGAGAGGGUGGUGCACAAAGCUGGGGACGCUGGCCUGGUGCCUGCGACACAUGGGGGAGUCUGGAAGCUCGGCCCUUCCUCUUGGGGUGGACACUGGGUUAAGUGGCCGUGACGACGAGGCCUGGUGGCUACUCGUGGGCUGUUGCGCGUGACGUGCUGGGGUCGUUGGGUGUGGGGACCCCCGGAAGCACGUCUCACCAGGAGCUGGGUGUAGCACAGUGUCCUGGGUGCUUGUUGCUGGUUUUCUUUUUUUCUCCAUUUCCCAAAAUCUUGCAGUGGAACAGAAAUCAGAAAACAACCCAUCUGGCCCGAGGGGAAUUGAGCUGCCCGGGUCACCCCAUCUGUCCUCCCCCAGGCCCCAGAGCUGCUCCCUGAGUGGCCAGGGGCCGCCCAUCGGUGCCUGUUCUGGCCACUGCAAAGGUGCAGAGGCCCUCGGGGGGUGCCCCGGAGCGCAUGGAGACUGCAUCCUCCACACCCAGUGCGGCUGCUGACCGUGGUGCCGCCGCUGCCCGAGGCCCAGCCCACCCUGGUUGCGUGCACAUCUAGAAUGUUCCGAGUGCGCUGUCUGGAAACGGGACUCCUUUCCUCACUGCUUUGUGACCAGACCUUGUUCUCCUGCUGUUGCAGAUGCCGACGUGGCUCGGGACAGCGCCGGCCCAGCAGCGAGCUCCGGGUGGCUGUGUGGACGGCUGUGCGUGGGGCUUUUCUGGAAGCAACGUGGUAACUCGCAGGAUGUUGGUGGCUGCCUUGCGGGAGGUCCUUCUGAGGCGGCCGUGACCAGCGCACCCCUGAGCCGGUGGGAGUCUGGCGUGCACUUGGAGCCCCGUCCCCAGGACCUCAGAGCCCAGGUGUCACCCCCUCUUCGUGGCCACUUCCCGGUGAUGCUGGAAGCCUGAGUGACUCCACCCGCAGGUCAGCCCUUCCCUCCUGGCUCCCAUCCCUUGCAGGGCAUGCCUGACUCGACACACAGGUAACACGUGUGUGCACGUGCACACAUAGGCACCCACGCAGGCCGCUGCAGGCUUCUUGCUCAUUUGCGUGGGCUCAGCAGGGUCCACGCUGACCUUGGCUGCCACCGUCCGCCAGCCAUGCCCAAAGGCCAGGGUCCAUGGAGAAGUUAGGGGCUUGCCCAGGUCUCACUGGGGGCUGGGCUGGGGUCUGCCUUCACGGACUGAAGUUCCUGUGCGCGGGGCGGGGCGGCCAGGGCGGCCGGCUGGGCUGGUGGUCACGGGCUGCUGGCCACAAAUGCAGAUUCCCCUAGGGGCUGCCCAGCUGAAGGUGCCCCGCCUGCCCU